rnacentral:tRNA from 1 species
GUGCCCGUAGUCAAGCUAGAUUAAGGCGCCGGAAUUGCACUCCGGAGACACCAGUGCGAAGCUGGUCGGGCACU